UGUGAACUCGAAGAGUAGGGCGGGACACGUGGUAUCCUGUCUGAAUAUGGGGGGACCAUCCUCCAAGGCUAAAUACUCCUGACUGACCGAUAGUGAACCAGUACCGUGAGGGAAAGGCGAAAAGAACCCCGGCGAGGGGAGUGAAAAAGAACCUGAAACCGUGUACGUACAAGCAGUGGGAGCCUCUUUAUGGGGUGACUGCGUACCUUUUGUAUAAUGGGUCAGCGACUUAUAUUCUGUAGCAAGGUUAACCGAAUAGGGGAGCCGAAGGGAAACCGAGUCUUAACUGGGCGUUAAGUUGCAGGGUAUAGACCCGAAACCCGGUGAUCUAGCCAUGGGCAGGUUGAAGGUUGGGUAACACUAACUGGAGGACCGAACCGACUAAUGUUGAAAAAUUAGCGGAUGACUUGUGGCUGGGGGUGAAAGGCCAAUCAAACCGGGAGAUAGCUGGUUCUCCCCGAAAGCUAUUUAGGUAGCGCCUCGUGAAUUCAUCUUCGGGGGUAGAGCACUGUUUCGGCUAGGGGGUCAUCCCGACUUACCAACCCGAUGCAAACUGCGAAUACCGAAGAAUGUUAUCACGGGAGACACACGGCGGGUGCUAACGUCCGUCGUGAAGAGGGAAACAACCCAGACCGCCAGCUAAGGUCCCAAAGUCAUGGUUAAGUGGGAAACGAUGUGGGAAGGCACAGACAGCCAGGAUGUUGGCUUAGAAGCAGCCAUCAUUUAAAGAAAGCGUAAUAGCUCACUGGUCGAGUCGGCCUGCGCGGAAGAUGUAACGGGGCUAAACCAUGCACCGAAGCUGCGGCAGCGACACUAUGUGUUGUUGGGUAGGGGAGCGUUCUGUAAGCCGUUGAAGGUGGCCUGUGAGGGUUGCUGGAGGUAUCAGAAGUGCGAAUGCUGACAUAAGUAACGAUAAUGCGGGUGAAAAACCCGCACGCCGGAAGACCAAGGGUUCCUGUCCAACGUUAAUCGGGGCAGGGUGAGUCGACCCCUAAGGCGAGGCCGAAAGGCGUAGUCGAUGGGAAACAGGUUAAUAUUCCUGUACUUGGUGUUACUGCGAAGGGGGGACGGAGAAGGCUAUGUUAGCCGGGCGACGGUUGUCCCGGUUUAAGCAUGUAGGCGGAGAUUCCAGGUAAAUCCGGAGUCUUGUUAACGCUGAGGUGUGAUGACGAGGCACUACGGUGCUGAAGUAACAAAUGCCCUGCUUCCAGGAAAAGCCUCUAAGCAUCAGGUAACACAAAAUCGUACCCCAAACCGACACAGGUGGUCAGGUAGAGAAUACCAAGGCGCUUGAGAGAACUCGGGUGAAGGAACUAGGCAAAAUGGUGCCGUAACUUCGGGAGAAGGCACGCUGAUAUGUAGGUGAAGUGAUUUACUCAUGGAGCUGAAAUCAGUCGAAGAUACCAGCUGGCUGCAACUGUUUAUUAAAAACACAGCACUGUGCAAACACGAAAGUGGACGUAUACGGUGUGACGCCUGCCCGGUGCCGGAAGGUUAAUUGAUGGGGUUAUCCGUAAGGAGAAGCUCUUGAUCGAAGCCCCGGUAAACGGCGGCCGUAACUAUAACGGUCCUAAGGUAGCGAAAUUCCUUGUCGGGUAAGUUCCGACCUGCACGAAUGGCGUAAUGAUGGCCAGGCUGUCUCCACCCGAGACUCAGUGAAAUUGAACUCGCUGUGAAGAUGCAGUGUACCCGCGGCAAGACGGAAAGACCCCGUGAACCUUUACUAUAGCUUGACACUGAACACUGGUCCUUGAUGUGUAGGAUAGGUGGGAGGCUUUGAAGUGUGGACGCCAGUCUGCAUGGAGCCAACCUUGAAAUACCACCCUUUAAUGGCUGGUGUUCUAACGUAGACCCGUGAUCCGGGUUGCGGACAGUGUCUGGUGGGUAGUUUGACUGGGGCGGUCUCCUCCUAAAGAGUAACGGAGGAGCACGAAGGUUAGCUAAUCCUGGUCGGACAUCAGGAGGUUAGUGCAAAGGCAUAAGCUAGCUUGACUGCGAGAGUGACGGCUCGAGCAGGUGCGAAAGCAGGUCUUAGUGAUCCGGUGGUUCUGAAUGGAAGGGCCAUCGCUCAACGGAUAAAAGGUACUCCGGGGAUAACAGGCUGAUACCGCCCAAGAGUUCAUAUCGACGGCGGUGUUUGGCACCUCGAUGUCGGCUCAUCACAUCCUGGGGCUGAAGUAGGUCCCAAGGGUAUGGCUGUUCGCCAUUUAAAGUGGUACGCGAGCUGGGUUUAGAACGUCGUGAGACAGUUCGGUCCCUAUCUGCCGUGGGCGCUGGAGAAUUGAGGGGGGCUGCUCCUAGUACGAGAGGACCGGAGUGGACGCAUCACUGGUGUUCGGGUUGUCAUGCCAAUGGCAUUGCCCGGUAGCUAAAUGCGGAAGAGAUAAGUGCUGAAAGCAUCUAAGCACGAAACUUGCCCCGAGAUGAGUUCUCCCUGACCCUUUAAGGGUCCUGAAGGAACGUUGAAGACGACGACGUUGAUAGGUCGGGUGUGUAAGCGUAGCGAUACGUUGAGCUAACCGAUACUAAUGAACCGUGAGGCUUAACCUUACAACGCCGAAG
rnacentral:rRNA from 1 species